CCACAACUGAAAUCCAAGGUUGCUGCUAGGUGGAUUGUUGUUAAGUGUAAUAGACAAAAAGGAAUCACUGAAUGUGGCUACUACGUGAUGCACUGGAUGUCCACGAUAAUCUUAGGAUCUUUCAGGAAUAGUUGGGAGACGUAUUUUAAUGAAGUUAGACCAUUGGAAGCAGAGAGAUUCAAGGCACUUCGCAUACAGUGGGCACAGUAUUAUCUAAAAGUUAGAAAUCAAACAUAGGAUGUUAGGCAACUAUGUAACUUUAGGUUAAUUAAUUAGUUUACGUACUUUGCAUUACAUUUUUU